GACUAUGGCCACACCACCCUGAAUGCACAUGAUCUCAUCUGAUCUCAGAAAAGGCUCAAGGAGGAGAAGGAAAAUUUUUCCUUUGGCCAUGAACC
ensembl:rRNA 5S_rRNA 5S ribosomal RNA